rnacentral:rRNA from 1 species
CUCAGAUUGAACGCUGGCGGCAGGCCUAACACAUGCAAGUCGAGCGGUAGAGAGAAGCUUGCUUCUCUUGAGAGCGGCGGACGGGUGAGUAAUGCCUAGGAAUCUGCCUGGUAGUGGGGGAUAACGCUCGGAAACGGACGCUAAUACCGCAUACGUCCUACGGGAGAAAGCAGGGGACCUUCGGGCCUUGCGCUAUCAGAUGAGCCUAGGUCGGAUUAGCUAGUUGGUGAGGUAAUGGCUCACCAAGGCGACGAUCCGUAACUGGUCUGAGAGGAUGAUCAGUCACACUGGAACUGAGACACGGUCCAGACUCCUACGGGAGGCAGCAGUGGGGAAUAUUGGACAAUGGGCGAAAGCCUGAUCCAGCCAUGCCGCGUGUGUGAAGAAGGUCUUCGGAUUGUAAAGCACUUUAAGUUGGGAGGAAGGGCAGUUACUUAAUACGUGAUUGUCUUGACGUUACCGACAGAAUAAGCACCGGCUAACUCUGUGCCAGCAGCCGCGGUAAUACAGAGGGUGCAAGCGUUAAUCGGAAUUACUGGGCGUAAAGCGCGCGUAGGUGGUUUGUUAAGUUGGAUGUGAAAUCCCCGGGCUCAACCUGGGAACUGCAUUCAAAACUGACAAGCUAGAGUAUGGUAGAGGGUGGUGGAAUUUCCUGUGUAGCGGUGAAAUGCGUAGAUAUAGGAAGGAACACCA